CUGCCUUAAACUAAUGAGUAAGGAAAACAAAGCGAGCGGUGAGAGCCGCUCGCCGCGCCACUAAAUCAAUUGUGCGCAUGAAUUUGUGGAGGGGUUAUAGGCUGGCCGAGCGUUGACGCUGCUUACUUUGCAGAACUCGCUUGAGCGGGCCUCCCUU